GAAUUUGUUGCUAAUACAUUCUUGAAAAGAUUGCCUGUUGAAAACCGGGAAGUCUGAAGGAGUAGAAGCUGUUUGAGGAAAUUCCUGAGAGAGCUUUUUCUAUGUUGAUGUCGUAUCGUGUAGAUCCGAGUCAUCCGACAGGCGUGAAUUAUAAUCUCUAUUGAAUCACUAUGGCCAACAUGUAAACUGGGUCAUUGUUUUACAUUCAAAGUUUGAAUUAUUUAUGCUACCUUUUAUAUGUAUUAAUGGUGUUAUUCCACACUUCAUCAUAAUUUAAUGAAAUUGCAAGUCUU